CCGCUGCCAGGCUCCUGACAAGUGAAUUGCCGACAGCCGAAGCCCAAUCGUGCACACGGUAACACCACAGCAGCAGCAACAGCAACAAGAAAAAGAGAGUUUGCACAAGCCCACCCCGUCCUCCGCACUGCCAGUCCUCCUGCUCUCCUUGUGUUGCCCGGCACAGGACUGGUGCCUGGUUUUGGUGAUGGUCAGGAGGCGGGUGCUGUGCAGUGGCCGCCGCCGCCGCUGAGGUCGGGCCGGGCGGAGCGGAACGGAGCGCGCGCCAGUCGGACAGCCCCAGGUGUUCCCGAGCGUCACAAUCAGAACGGCCCGAGCCGCGGGCGGGAAAAGCAGCAGAGAGCCGGAGCCCGCGCCCGCGCCCGCGCCCCGGGUGGAUACCCACACCAACCAUGGGCUGCUGCAGCGGCAGGUGCACUCUCAUCUUCAUCUCCAGCCUGCAGCUAAUAUGUGUGUUGGAGAGACAGAUCUUUGAUUUCCUUGGCUACCAAUGGGCACCAAUCCUGGCCAAUUUUUUACACAUUGUCACAGUCAUUUUUGGCCUUUUUGGGACCAUCCAGUUCAGACAACGAUAUGUAAUCAGGUAUGCCAUCUGGAUGGUCCUCUGGGUGACAUGGAAUGUGUUUGUUAUCUGCUUCUACUUGGAGGUUGGAGGCCUUGCAAAGGAUACUGACCUGAUUAUGACCUUUAACAUUUCUAUGCAUCGCUCUUGGUGGAUGGAGAAUGGACCAGGAUGUGCAGUAGCAACUAUAACUGAUACUCCAGAAUGGGUACCAGAGGAUCACCGCUACAUUUAUAUCAGAGGGUGUCUCCUAGAAUACCAGUAUAUAGAGGUGGCACAUAGUUCACUACAAGUUAUUCUUGCACUUCUUGGAUUUGUUUAUGCCUGUUACGUGAUCAAAAUUGUUGCUGAAGAAGAAGACAGCUUUGAUUUCAUCGGAGGGUUUGACUCAUACGGCUAUCAGGGCCCACAGAAAACAUCCCAUUUACAGUUGCAGCCCAUGUACAUAUGACCCAUCACCCUGCUCAUCCAGUGCAGAGAACCCAACCUUCUCCUCAGAGAAUGGUCAAAAUAAACUGGCAACUGGAUGCCUUAAAAUUCUUCUGACUUCGAACUUUUCACACCUUAAUUUCAAAGAUUCUAGUGGUGAUAACUUUUUAUUGUGCAAUGUGGAGCAUGGCUGACCAUUCUUCAAGUGAUGGCCCAGCCCAGAGUCUUGGGACAACAGAAGACCCAACCAAAAUGCAGGCAGGUGAAAUACUUCAAAGAUUUGAAACUGUACACCACAACCAGCAAUCUUCCUCCAGUUGGUUGGAACAUGCUGAAAAGUAAUGCUGAAUUUUGAUGCCUCGAAGAUGAAGCUAAAGUAUUGUUGCCCUCUGCAGGCUAAUAUGAAAAUCUCAUGGCAUUAUUCUCGUGUGAUUCCAGAUUGCCAAUUAUAACUGCAAGUGUUCAUCAACAAAUUAGAUUAACUGUUUAUGUUUCAAGGUCAUUGUUGAAUAUAUAUUUUUCUGGAUUAGCCAGACAUGGUGAAUUGAAUCAGUGCCAUAGUUUUACUAAGGAUUAAAUAAUGCAACCAAAUGUGAGCUUCUUUUCAUACAAGCAGCACAUUUGCCUUAAUACAUGAAAGUCUAAACAUCUGUAAAUGAGUUCAAAUCUGGGCAUUUUUUAUAAUGUUAAAACAUUUCCUGAACGAUUACUGGUGGAGUUAGCACUUUCUGAUAAACUGCUAUCACAUAGCUGUGCAGAAGAUGCUUUGCAUACCGAAGGUCUUCAGUGAAUAGCCCACAUCAUUGUUUUUUAUUCCUACACAAAAGUAAAUGUGAAGCUGUGGAGGAAAUAGGCAGCGGUAGUAUAUGUGAAUAGUUGAAAGCCUUGAUAGGUCAUGUGAAAUAAAGCUGAAAGAGCCAAUCAAAUGUGGUAGUUGAGAAUA